GGUUUGAUUAUGGCUCAGAACGUACGCUGGCGGCACGCCUUAUACAUGCAAGUCGAACGAAGUAGCAAUACUUAGUGGCAGACGGGUGAGUAACAUGUGGGUAUCUUCCCUUUGGCCUGGAAUAACACGAGGAAACUUGUGCUAAUACCGGAUAAGUCUUUACGGAGAAAGCUUUAUGCACCAUUGGAUGAGCCCGCACUUGAUUAGUUUGUUGGUGGGGUAAUGGCCUACCAAGACAAUUAUCAAUAGCUGAUUUGAGAGGAUGAUCAGCCACAUUGGAACUGAGACACGGUCCAAACUCCUACGGGAGGCAGCAGUAGGGAAUCUUGCACAAUGGAGGAAACUCUGAUGCAGCGAUGCCGCGUGAGUGAAGAAGGCCCUUGGGUUGUAAAGCUCUUUCGUCGGGGAAGAAAAUGACUGUACCCGAAUAAGAAGGUCCGGCUAACUUCGUGCCAGCAGCCGCGGUAAUACGAAGGGACCUAGCGUAGUUCGGAAUUACUGGGCUUAAAGAGUUCGUAGGUGGUUAAAAAAGUUGGUGGUGAAAUCCCAGAGCUUAACUCUGGAACUGCCAUCAAAACUUUUUAGCUAGAGUAUGAUAGAGGAAAGCAGAAUUUCUAGUGUAGAGGUGAAAUUCGUAGAUAUUAGAAAGAAUACCGAUUGCGAAGGCAGCUUUCUGGAUCAUUACUGACACUGAGGAACGAAAGCAUGGGUAGCGAAGAGGAUUAGAUACCCUCGUAGUCCAUGCUGUAAACGAUGUGUGUUAGACGUUGGAAAUUUAUUUUCAGUGUCGCAGCGAAAGCAAUAAACACACCGCCUGGGGAGUGCGACCGCAAGGUUAAAACUCAAAUGAAUUGACGGGGACCCGCACAAGUAGUGGAGCAUGUGGUUUAAUUCGAAGAUACGCGCAGAACCUUACCAACACUUGACAUGUUCGUCGCGACUCUAAGAGAUUAGAGUUUUCGGUUCGGCCGGACGAAACACAGGUGCCGCAUGGCUGUCGUCAGCUCGUGUCGUGAGAUGUUGGGUUAAGUCCCGCAACGAGCGCAACCCUCACUUUUAGUUGCCAUCAUUUAGUUGGGCACUCUGAAAGAACUGCCAGUGAUAAGCUGGAGGAAGGUGGGGAUGACGUCAAGUCCUCAUGGCCCUUACGUGUUGGGCUACACACGUGCUACAAUGAUAUCUACAACAGGAAGCAAGAUGGCAACAUUAAGCAAAUCCCAAAAAGAUAUCUCAGUUCGGAUUGCACUCUGCAACUCGAGUGCAUGAAGCUGGAAUUACUAGUAAUCGUGGAUCAGCGUGCCACGGUGAAUACGUUCCCGGGUCUUGUACACACCGCCCGUCACACCAUGGGAGUUGGUUCUACCUUAAGGCAAAGUUUAAAACCUUUGACCACGGUAUAGUCAGCGACUGGGGUGAAGUCGUAACAAGGUAACCA
rnacentral:rRNA from 1 species